GCUAGAGCCAAGGCCUUUGAUUCUUACCCCGUCUCCUGGAUUCUUGUUCAUCAUCUCCUGCCUGGCCCAGCAGCUAGAUUAGUAAACCCCCUGUAGUCUUCCACUUUCAUAAUCAGCUUGUUCAAGAAGGUCAUUGCCUUGCUCCUUUUACUUGGUUUUAACUGCUGUAAAUUGCGUAUGUAUGGAGGGGUGCGUGGUUCUUAUGGCCCAUAGUCUUUACUGCCCAUUUGACCCUGUUCUCGCAAUCUCCAUUCACUGAGUUGGUUCCCAUUAUUUCAGGGUAGAAUACCUUAGCUUCACAUCUUCCAUGGUUUUCUGACGUUUGUCAGGAAAUUAAGGGAUGCCUCUGAAGUUUUGGAAUCUUAAUGUAUUUGGGACUUCAUAGUUGUAAGAAAAGUCUUAAAGUUGAUGUCUAAAAGAUUGGAUUGGUUUUUUUUGUUGUUGUUCUUUUUUUCACUAAGCCUACAUGGAAAUACCCAUUUGAGUGGACCAGAUGAGACAAAAAUUACCUGAGCUUGUCCUUAUGUGCCUAGUUUCUCAAAGAACUCAUUGUCCCUAAAGUAGUUAUCAUUAAGCUGUCAGAAACCUUUGGUGCCAACAGUGUAGAGAAUGUUGGCAGAGCACAGGAAUGAUCCCAAGAAAGCUUUCUGUGUUGACAGAUUGCAAGUCUGGCUUAAACAGACUUUUAGCUGACAUGUUUUAAACAGAGUUACCACUGAGCACUGCACAAACUUAGGAAUUCUUUGUUGUUAUCUCUCGCUCCAUGAGAAAUAAUGGAUUGUAAUUGAUACUUGUUUUUUAAAAAUUGGAUUAUUUUAGACCAGACACCCAUUUCUAGGAAGUAUUAGUAGUGUCUCCAGUUCAAUUUCAGUAGAAUGUCUAACUUUAUAAGUUUACACUGAUAGUUGACUAUCUCUGACUUUAUUUUAGGGUUGUAUGUAACUAAAAUGAGUGGCAGCAACUGAUGUUUGAGACCAAACCAGUCUUGAGCAAAACCAUUUAGUCAAAUAGGGAAAAUGAUUUAUUUAUUUAUUUAUUUUUUUUGGCUUUUCGGGACACUUUCCUAUAGUCCCCUUCCUCACAUCUCUGAUGGAAUUCUGCCCACUUGGCUAUUACAGACCUCCCUGGAACACCCGAUUACUAAUCUAUAUCAUCUGCAAGUCCUUUCCAUGCAAAAUUGUUAGUUCUUUUUUUCCACAUGCUCCCAGGUAAUUAGACAGAUGAUUUGAUAAACAGGUUGGAACUAAGACUUUUUGUUGAGAUGAAAGCCAUGUUCAUGGUUCACGGAUGGGUAAAUGUGGGGAUUUUCUUGAGUGUCAGGCCCAGAGAUCAAGGAGAGCUUUCAGUCCAAGAGGCAGUUCUGAAUUCCUCUUUGAUUCAUGUCAUGUGCCACCCAUAUUUGGGUUCAGAUUGGGCAGAAUAGACUAAUUUUGGCUUUGUGGAGGUGUGUAAAUCCCACUCUAAUCAAAAUAACUCCAUUUCCAAGAUGAGGCCUCUUUUUAAGCCUGUGUUCAUGUUUUUCAUGGUAUGGCCGUUUUUUUUUUUUUUUUUAAACUACAAACACCAUAAUUAUAAAGAGGAACCAAGAGUAUGUGGAUAAUUCUCUCAUCAGAUAGGAUCUGCAGGGGAGUGGAGGAAGAGUUGUGAUAUUUUAGUUCGGGGUGGUUCCCACUGCACUGUUCUGCAGAGAAAGUGGGCUGUUCAAGCCCCCUAACAGACACAGUAAGUGGCCUUUUAUGUUUUAUUUCAAAUAACGACCAAAUAAAACGGGGUGAUGCUUUGAUUAUAAUUAUGUGAAACUCUUAUAUUGAUGGAUACCACAUAAAGAAAAGUUCACAAAUCAGUGAAUUAAUAAUCACACAGGUCAAGAAAUAGAACAUUU